GUCGAGCGCACUCUUUUAGAGUGAGCGGCAAACGGGUGAGUAACGCGUGGGAAUCUACCCAUUUCUACGGAAUAACACAGAGAAAUUUGUGCUAAUACCGUAUACGUCCUUUUAGGAGAAAGAUUUAUCGGAGAUGGAUGAGCCCGCGUUGGAUUAGCUAGUUGGUGAGGUAACGGCUCACCAAGGCGACGAUCCAUAGCUGGUCUGAGAGGAUGAUCAGCCACACUGGGACUGAGACACGGCCCAG
rnacentral:rRNA from 1 species